UACGUAGGGGGCUAGCGUUGUCCGGAUUUAUUGGGCGUAAAGAGCGCGUAGGCGGCCAGGUAGGUCUGGUGUGAAAACUCGAGGCUUAACCUCGAGAUGUCAUCGGAAACCAUCUGGCUAGAGUCCGGAAGAGGAGAGUGGGAUUCCUGGUGUAGCGGUGAAAUGCGCAGAUAUCAGGAAGAACACCAAUGGCGAAAGCAGCUCUCUGGGACGGUACUGACGCUGAGACGCGAAAGCGUGGGGAGCGAACAGG
rnacentral:rRNA from 1 species